ensembl:lncRNA
GAACAUUGAGUACUUUAUCACAAACCUUCUCCCUCUUAUACAGACUUUCAGACUGCAGUAUCACUGGAGAAAGUUAUGAAACAUUGACUUCAGCUCUAAGAUCAAACUCAUAUCUGAUAGAGCUGGAUCUAACAGGAAAUGAUCCCGGACUAUCAGAAGUGAAGCAGAUCCUAGAUUUCCUGAAGAAUGAGCAGUAUAAAUUAAAGAAAAUCAGACUUUUGAAAAGUCCUGCUGCAGAGGAAGCAUGUGACUAUCUCGCUAAAGUUCUGGGUAAAAAUCCAUUACUACUGAAAGAACUGGAUCUGAGCAGAAUUGACUUAGGAGUUCUGGGUGGGAAGAAGCUCUCUGCUCUUCUGAUGGACUCUCACAGCAAAGUGCAGAAAAUAAAGUGAGUCAACAUGAUUUCAGACAUUAAAGCAUUAAAACAUAAAUGUAAAGUAAAACCAAGAUGAAAAUUCAUGCUUAUUUUUAAACAAUGUUUAAAGUUUGGUGCAACAGAAUUACCAGAUUUAAUCUAGAUUUAAGAUGCCUACUUGUCCAUGCAACCCUUAAUGUAUUAAAUACAUUUAACUUGUGUAAUUGAGAAAUUUUAUCUGGUCUAGAGGAAAUAUAGAGCUGAGUAUCAUCAGUAUAACAAUUCCCUGUUUUCCAAUAAUACUUCCAGUGAAAGCAGAAAAGGAUGUUACAUAUACAUUUUUGCAGGACUCCAUAUUAGAGUUAGUUGUUAUCUGUAGUUGUCUGACUGUUCCUUAUUGAAACAAACAAUACGAUCUGAACCAUCUUAAUGCUUGUCCAUGCAUUAUUUUCUAUCCUGUUUACUUUAGAGGAAUGGGAUCUAGUACAAUUGUCGAUGGUUCAGUGAUCAAUUUUGUUAACCCCUCCUGUCUUACAGCACUGAAUGAAUUCAGUAGUUCUUUGAGGAGCUAUUUUGGUAAUGCAGUUUUGUGAUAUUGGAUCUGCAGUUGCAUCUGAAGUGCUAGAGGGUCACAUGUGUAAGCAGAUAUGAAGAAUUGUUGAUCUGAUGUAUGUUGAAUAUGUGCAGAAUAAUAAAUAAUGCUGUUUUU